UCCACACGCACACGCAUAUAACGUUUCUGAUUGUACAAGUGUAUGCCUGACUUCGACAUCAAUCUCUUCAAUUUGUGAAAAUUUUCAGUAAGAUGUUCAGGAGAAUUAUGAAAAGCUGUUCAAUGGAGAAAGCAGUAUGUGACUAUGAUACGAGGCAUAAAUUUUGGCGGGCAGCACGUAAUAUUACGUCUUCGAAAUUGUUGGUUACAUUUUCCCCCGAAGCACAAAGUGGUAAGCGUUAAGCUACCCCACUUUUCUGUAAAUGUAUGUGUAUAUUAUAUAUACCAAUUGAAAUGGCAUGUAUUUGGACUACAGAAUGGAAGAGCAUAUAGUAAAGAACAAAAGACAAAUUUUUAAUUUAUUAAAAUCUGUUUCCAGAGCAGAUAAAAUAACUACCUUUUAAAAAAGAGGUACUGAUCACAAGUACUCCAAAGUUGACAGGCCGCUUAAAAAAUGAUCUGAGUUUAUGGAGCAAA
rnacentral:lncRNA from 1 species